AGUUCCAUUUAAAUAUUCAUCACACAAUCUAACAAUAUUUGUAUUUAACAAAUUUUUCAAAGAUGGCGACCAAAUAAAAUCAAAAUGAUUAAAUUUGUCCGCUGAUAUUCCAUAAACACCGAUUGUCGAUGGUAAAUUUUUAUAAAGCUCAUGUACAGCCUUUGGCGUAGCUAAAGCAUCAGUACGACCAUAAUGUAAAAUAAUUGGCAUAGUAAUUUUUGUUAAAUUAUAUCCAUCAGGUUCAACUCGGUGAUAAAAUUGUAAAUUUCCUUCUAAACCACGAUCAUAAGAAACAAAAUCACCAGAUUUUAAAAUUUGUAGAAAAUGUUCAAUUUCUUGAACAGAACCUCCAGCAAUAAUUGCUCCCAAGGCUAAAGGGUCCAUGGACUGUUAAAAAAAUUGACAAACAAGAGUAAAUAUUAAAUUUGACGAAGGAAAGAUCAUAAUACCUGAUUGUAUUGCCCCACACCGAAAAUAUCCGACACAAUUUCCAAACACUUUAGAUUAUUCUCUGAAUUGAUUGAACAUUUCUGCAAAAGUUGUCCUUGUGGAAAAGCCUCAAAUAGAGAAUUUUGUAAGGUUUCUCAGAAAAACCAAUGGCGCCAAGGCCUGAAAGAACAAAAUCCGAUCUUCGUAUUCCGGUCGUGUGGUACAAAGUGCUAGAAGUGCUGUGGCACCUUGUGAAUGUCCAAUGUAGAUUAUUUGAUGAAAUGCUGUGACAUCACGAAUUUUAUCAAUUGUUGCUGAAAUAUCAUAAACUCCGAUUUCAUGAAAGCUAAAUUGCCAAAAUUGUGGAUCUUUAAUCGUUAACUUUGUGUGAUUUCGACUUUGAAUAGUUCCACGGGUAUUGAUUAACCAAACGUCAUAGUUGCUCGAUGCUAGCUGAAAAGCUGAAGAAUUGCUAAAAAAUUUUACAGCUACGUUAGAAAAAACGGGCCUUUCUUACCCAAACUGUUCUCAGGUCCAAGCAUUACAAAACUUAACGAAGAAGUGAACAAACCAUGAACCAGAAGAACUGGUUGAUGUCCUGGCUUUGGAAUUCUGUAUAAAACCAAAAUAUAACCAUCCUCAGUUUGAACUUCAUAAGUUUCACAUGUCAAUUUAUUUACAACAUUAUUUUUGUUCGGUCCAACAACCUGUCUCAGGAAUUUUUUUACCACGCGGAAGCAUAAGCUAAUGGAGCAGCAGCAUAUGAAUAAUGAGCUGGAGCAGCAUAAGUCUUGAGCACUGGAGCAGCAUGAUAAGUUU